UUAUUCUCAAAAAAUCCAAUGCAAAUAGCCUUCCAAACAUGGGACAAUAGGAUACAUUCAUUCCUUGUAACUGUGAUCUGACUGACAUUUUCAAUUCUUUGUAGGAUUCCAAAGCCUAUUUCCAUCUUCUCAAUCAAAUCGCACCAAAAGGACAAAAGGAAGGUGAACCACGGAUAGAUAUUAACAUGUCAGGUUUCAAUGAAACAGAUGAUUUGAAGAGAGCUGAGAGUAUGCUUCAACAAGCAGAUAAAUUAGGUUGCAGACAGUUUGUUACCCCUGCUGAUGUUGUCAGUGGAAACCCCAAACUCAACUUAGCUUUCGUGGCUAACCUGUUUAAUAAAUACCCGGCACUAACUAAGCCAGAGAACCAGGAUAUUGACUGGACUCUAUUAGAAGGAGAAACUCGUGAAGAAAGAACCUUCCGUAACUGGAUGAACUCUCUUGGUGUCAAUCCCCACGUAAACCAUCUCUAUGCUGACCUGCAAGAUGCCCUGGUAAUCUUACAGUUAUAUGAACGAAUUAAAGUUCCUGUUGACUGGAGUAAGGUUAAUAAACCUCCAU
rnacentral:sRNA from 1 species